rnacentral:rRNA from 1 species
CUCAGGAUGAACGCUAGCUACAGGCUUAACACAUGCAAGUCGAGGGGCAGCAUGAACUUAGCUUGCUAAGUUGAUGGCGACCGGCGCACGGGUGAGUAACGCGUAUCCAACCUUCCCCUUAGUAGGGCAUAGCCCGUAGAAAUGCGGAUUAAUACCCUAUGUUAUUCGUCGAGGACAUCUGAAGUGAAUCAAAGGUUUACCGCUAAGGGAUGGGGAUGCGUCUGAUUAGGCAGCAGGCGGGGUAACGGCCCACCUGGCCUACGAUCAGUAGGGGUUCUGAGAGGAAGGUCCCCCACAUUGGAACUGAGACACGGUCCAAACUCCUACGGGAGGCAGCAGUGAGGAAUAUUGGUCAAUGGGCGCGAGCCUGAACCAGCCAAGUAGCCGUGCAGGAUGACGGCCCUAUGGGUUGUAAACUGCUUUUAUGCGGGGAUAAGGUUCACUACGUGUAGUGUUUUGUAGGUACCGCAUGAAUAAGGACCGGCUAAUUCCGUGCCAGCCGCGGC